UAAUUGGUGGAGAUGAUUCCAACACAAAUGCCUGUCUCCUCACUGAAAACUUUAGGAGUAAGAAUUUGAAAACCCGAGUGAUUGGUUGCCCAAAAACUAUUGAUGGUGAUCUCAAAUGCAAAGAGGUCCCCACAAGUUUUGGAUUUGAUUCUGCUUGCAAGUUGGACGGCUUAUGGGUCGUGCUGCUUCUCACAUCACACUGGAGUGUGCUUUGCAAACUCAUCCAAAUAUUACUAUUAUUGGAGAAAAGGUAGCUGCUUUAUUUAAACUACUUAAAAUAGAUACCUUGAGGAAAUUUAUCUCCACAUGCUUUACCAGAUAGAAAUCUUUGUCAAGAAGGGCAUUUACCUCCACAUGCAACCCUAGGGUUGUUUAUUCUCUUUGAGGACUAGAUUUUGUCUCAGUAAUAACUAAUAAUCUCUGCAACAGAUACUCUCAUGUAACCAUGAAAAUUGAAAUUGUUGAGUC